rnacentral:tRNA from 1 species
GAGGGUAUAGCUCAAGUGGUAGAGCAGGUGCUUAGCAUGCAGGAGGUCCUGGAUUCAAUUCCCAGUAACUCCU